AUUGAACGCUGGCGGCAGGCUUAACACAUGCAAGUCGAGCGGGGUGAUGGUGCUUGCACUAUCACUUAGCGGCGGACGGGUGAGUAAUGCUUAGGAAUCUGCCUAUUAGUGGGGGACAACAUCUCGAAAGGGAUGCUAAUACCGCAUACGUCCUACGGGAGAAAGCAGGGGAUCACUUGUGACCUUGCGCUACUAGAUGAGCCUAAGUCGGAUUAGCUAGUUGGUGGGGUAAAGGCCUACCAAGGCGACGAUCUGUAGCGGGUCUGAGAGGAUGAUCCGCCACACUGGGACUGAGACACGGCCCAGACUCCUACGGGAGGCAGCAGUGGGGAAUAUUGGACAAUGGGGGGAACCCUGAUCCAGCCAUGCCGCGUGUGUGAAGAAGGCCUUAUGGUUGUAAAGCACUUUAAGCGAGGAGGAGGCUCUUUUGGUUAAUACCCAAGAUGAGUGGACGUUACUCGCAGAAUAAGCACCGGCUAACUCUGUGCCAGCAGCCGCCGUAAAAC
rnacentral:rRNA from 1 species